AGCAUCGGCCGGGAAUCGAACCCGGGUCGCCCGCGUGAAAGGCGAGCAUUCUACCACUGAACCACCGAUGC